rnacentral:lncRNA from 1 species
UGCAUGCUAGUUGAUAAUGGCAUAUUAGCAUUGUGAUGCAUGUUGGCUUUAUAGAACAUAUAUGCUAGAUGAAAUAAAUGUUAACCUAUUGUUAAUUAUGGAGAUUAUGUGGCAUCUAAACCUAGUGUCGUGAACCUAGGAUAGAUCGAGUGGCAUUAAUAUAAUGUUGUUAAACAUAGGUUGACAUUAAACCUAGUGU